ACGGCUACCUUGUUACGACUUCACCCCAAUCAUUGAUUCUACCUUCGACUGCUGCCUCUAUAAGUUAGCUCACAGGCUUCGGGUAUCCCCAACUCUCAUGGUGUGACGGGCGGUGUGUACAAGGCCCGGGAACGUAUUCACGGCAGUAUGCUGACCUGCCAUUACUAGCAAUUCCGGCUUCAUGAAGGCGAAUUUCAGCCUUCAAUCCGAACUGAGACUACUUUUUUGGGUUUCGCUUAACGUCUCCGUCUCGCUUCUCUUUGUUAUAGCCAUUGUAGUACGUGUGUAGCCCAGGACAUAAAGGGCAUGAUGAUUUGACGUCGUCCCCACCUUCCUCCGAUUUAUCACCGGCAGUCUACUUAGAGUUCCCACCUUUACGUGCUGGCAACUAAGUAUAGGGGUUGCGCUCGUUGCAGGACUUAACCUAACAUCUCACGACACGAGCUGACGACAACCAUGCACCACCUGUACAGAUGUACCGAAAUACUGACUAAUCUCUUAGCCAUUCAUCUGUAUGUCAAGCCCUGGUAAGGUUCUUCGCGUUGCUUCGAAUUANACCACAUACUCCACUGCUUGUGCGGGCCCCCGUCAAUUCCUUUGAGUUUCAACCUUGCGGUCGUACUCCCCAGGUGGGAUACUUACUGCGUUAG
rnacentral:rRNA from 1 species